UACGUAGGGCGCAAGCGUUAUCCGGAAUUAUUGGGCGUAAAGAGCUCGUAGGCGGUUUGUCGCGUCUGCCGGGAAAGUCCGGGGCUCAACUCCGGAUCUGCGGUGGGUACGGGCAGACUAGAGUGAUGUAGGGGAGACUGGAAUUCCUGGUGUAGCGGUGAAAUGCGCAGAUAUCAGGAGGAACACCGAAGGCGAAGGCAGGUCUCUGGGCAUUAACUGACGCUGAGGAGCGAAAGCAUGGGGAGCGAACAGG
rnacentral:rRNA from 1 species